rnacentral:lncRNA from 1 species
AUUAUAUUCUAAAUAUGCUUGAGCUAGAGCACGAGCACGAAAUAAAUAGGUCCCUGUGUAACGCAACGCGACAGGCUUAAGAACCAGUAGAAUGUGACAUCCCGAAAAUACCCAUUCUAAGCGGCUAAGGUUAAGGUUAAAUACUGUCAAGCAUUGCGAUACCCGAUAUUUAUGCAGUACGGUCGCCGCUGAACACGCAAUUGGCCGGCUCGUAAGGAGGUGACGAAUUAGGGCUACAUUUCCACGCCACGCAGUCGCGAAAUAUAUGUGGUUUAAUAGGAUGUCAGGGUUAGGGAUUGGGUAAAAUUAAUGACUAAUCUAUUUCGCGACUGCGCGACAUGAAAAGACAACCCGAAUAGCACUUCCACCAACCUGUAGGCUAAAAAAUAAUACACGACGGUAAAAACGAAGAGUACGUAAGUUAACGCGUCACUAGCCAGGCACCUAGCUCAUAAUGCCCAGCUCCUAAGCGAACUUCCGAAGCACAACAAAGCAAGGCCAAAGCAACUUAGCAUGGCAAGGCAAAUGGACGCUAGUGUACUGAGGAGUAAGAAGACUCCAGCUGUGAGCUGUGUGACAAAUAACACCGCCAGCGCCAUUAAUUGUAAGUGGUAAACUUAACGGAAACCCUUGUGCCUUCCGUCCGUUCGAGCGAAUAUGCUGACAGAGAUGUGUAAGUGACAACGGGGUCUGUCAACAUGGAGACUGCCUGAAGGUCACAUUCCCCAUAUAAACUAUACAGACGGAAGCACAAAAUAUAUACGUCGUAUAGUAUAACACGCGGUGAUGCACUGCAAGUGAAUACCAGUAACCCCACUAAUCGCGAGGUUGCAUAUUGCGAACAGCGACCUUGGCUAUGUGUGUAAGGUGUUAAUAAUAAUGAAGCCGACAAACGACGCCGCCAGUGCACUUGACAGAGAAUUUAACCCCACCCCCCCCCAAAAAAAAAAACCAAAAAAAACAAAAAAAAAAAACAUACGCGUUUCAAAAAAAACCCCAAAAUCAAACACAUUUAUUGUAAAACCAGACCCUAAAUAUAUAAAAAACGUCAACAUUAUAAAAACCUAGUAACUGAGAUUCACAACCAAUAAGCAUGUUAACAAUCCAAGUUAUAGAAAUUAAAACAGUACAUGAUACCCAUAACACACCGCCAGAGCGCUUGAUGCGUACUAGAGCAUUCUAGAAACGACGGCUUUUGGGCGGGAUCGGGUAACUAGGGGCUUUACCAGAAGUUGGACAGUUUAUGCCUCGGUGAUCCGCCGAACAGUUCGAACAUACAUGGCGAAAGCGACACAAUGCAGUGGGGGCUACACACCGUCCUCGAUUCCACGAUGCACAGACUACAAACGCAGCUGAAUUGCCUUGCCCUUCGGUCACACGAUCGACCCGCGGUUGCGGAAUCGAAUGAGAAGGUUUCGCAGCAGAACCGGCGGUAUAAAAAUUGAACAACUGGACGUUCAGUUCCGACUAGUCCGUAAGGUCUAGAGCGGCUGUGUGUUGUCUAAAGGCCUUGUCGUACGUUAACCAUGCAGUACUCUGGAACUGGCG